rnacentral:rRNA from 1 species
UACGAAGGGGGCUAGCGUUGUUCGGAAUUACUGGGCGUAAAGCGCGCGCAGGCGGCUAUCCAAGUCAGUGGUGAAAGCCCGGAGCUCAACUCCGGAACUGCCAUUGAAACUGUUUAGCUUGAGGACGAGAGAGGUGAGUGGAAUUCCCAGUGUAGAGGUGAAAAUUCGUAGAUAUUGGGAAGAACACCGGUGGCGAAGGCGGCUCACUGGCUCGUAUCUGACGCUCAGGCGCGACAGCGUGGGGAUCGAAACAGG